CAGUCGCCGCGGGAAUACGUAGGGUGCAAGCGUUAAUCGGAAUUACUGGGCGUAAAGCGUGCGCAGGCGGUUUUGUAAGACAGGCGUGAAAUCCCCGGGCUCAACCUGGGAAUGGCGCUUGUGACUGCAAAGCUAGAGUGCGGCAGAGGGGGAUGGAAUUCCGCGUGUAGCAGUGAAAUGCGUAGAUAUGCGGAGGAACACCGGUGGCGAAAGCGGCUCUCUGGCUUGUGACUGACGCUGAGGCUCGAAAGCGUGGGGAGCAAACAGGAUUAGAUACCCGUGUAGUCCCUGUCUCUUAUAC
rnacentral:rRNA from 1 species